rnacentral:rRNA from 1 species
GAGCUCAAAUUUGUAAUCUGGCGGCCUUUGGCCGUCCGAGUUGUAGUCUCGAGAAGCGUUUUCUGCGCCGGACCGUGUACAAGUCCCUUGGAACAGGGCGUCACAGAGGGUGAGAAUCCCGUCUUUGACACGGACUGCCGGUGCUUUGUGAUGCGCUCUCAAAGAGUCGAGUUGUUUGGGAAUGCAGCUCAAAACGGGUGGUAAAUUCCAUCUAAAGCUAAAUAUUGGCGAAAGACCGAUAGCGAACAAGUACCGUGAGGGAAAGAUGAAAAGCACUUUGGAAAGAGAGUUAAACAGUACGUCAAAUUGCUGA